UACGUAGGGGCUAGCGUUGUCCGGAUUUAUUGGGUCGUAAAGAGCGUGUAGGCGGCCAGAUAGGUCUGCUGUGAAAAACUUCGAGGCUCAACCUCGAGAUGUCGGCGGAAACCAUUUGGCUAGAGUCCGGAAGAGGGAAAGUGGAAUUCCUGGUGUAGCGGUGAAAAUGCGUAGAGAUCGGGAAGAACAUCGGUGGCGAAGGCGC
rnacentral:rRNA from 1 species